rnacentral:rRNA from 1 species
UUUAAAGAUUACACAUAUCUUGGAUGCUAAGCAGGAUUUGGCCUGGUUAGUACUUGGAUGAGAGACCACCUAGGAAGACCAGGUGUUAUAC